rnacentral:rRNA from 1 species
AUUGAACGCUGGCGGCAGGCCUAACACAUGCAAGUCGAACGAGUGGCGGACGGGUGAGUAAUGUCUGGGAAACUGCCCGAUGGAGGGGGAUAACUACUGGAAACGGUAGCUAAUAACGCAUACCAUCGGAUGUGCCCAUAUGGGAUUAGCUAGUUGGUGGGGUAAAGGCUCACCAAGGCGACGAUCCCUAGCUGGUCUGAUAGGAUGACCAGCCACCCUGGAACUGAGACACGGCCCAGACUCCUACGGGAGGCAGCAGUGGGGAAUAUUGCACAAUUGGCUCAAGCCUGAUGCAGCCAUGCCGCGUGUAUGAAGAAGGCCUUCGGGUUUUAAAGUACUUUCAGCGGGGAGGCGUUACCCGCAGAAGAAGCACCGGCUAACUCCGUGCCAGCAGCCGCGGUAAUUC